rnacentral:rRNA from 1 species
ACGGGGAGCAGCAGGCGCGAAACCUUUACACUGCACGGAAGUGCGAUAAGGGGACCCCAAGUGCGAGGGCAUACAGUCCUCGCUUUUCUGGACCGUAAGGAGGUUCAGGAACAAGAGCUGGGCAAGACCGGUGCCAGCCGCCGCGGUAAUACCGGCAGCUCGAGUGAUGGCCGCUAUUAUUGGGCCUAAAGCGUCCGUAGCCGGCCGGACAAGUCCGUCGGGAAAUCCACGUGCUUAACGCGUGGGCGUCCGGCGGAAACUGUUCGGCUUGGGGCCGGAAGACCCGAGGGGUACGUCCGGGGUAGGAGUGAAAUCCCGUAAUCCUGGACGGACCGCCGGUGGCGAAAGCGCCUCGGGAAGACGGACCCGACGGUGAGGGACGAAAGCUAGGGUCUCGAACCGGAUUAGAUACCCGGGUAGCCUAGCCGAAACGAUGCCCGCUA